GACGAACGCUGGCGGCGUGCCUAAUACAUGCAAGUCGAACGCAGUGGCGACGGGUGGGUAACAAGUGGGUAACCUCCCAUCAGAGGGGAUAACACUUGGCAACAGGUGCUAAACCGAUACUGAUUGAUGGACCCGCGGUGCAUUAGCUAGGUGGUGAGGUACCGGCUCACCAAGGCCACGAUGCAUAGGCGACCUGAGAGGGUGAUCGGCCACACGGGGACGGAGAGACGGCCCAGACUUCUACGGUAGGCAGCAGUACUGAAUCUUCGGCAAUGGACGAAAGUCUGACCGAGCAACGACGCGGGAGUGAAGAAGGUUGUCGGAUCGUAAAACGCUGUGGGUAGAGAAGCGGUAUCUAACCAGAAAGCCACGGCUAACUACGUGACAGCAGCCGCGGUAAUAC
rnacentral:rRNA from 1 species